rnacentral:rRNA from 1 species
CAGUAGCCGCGGUAAUACGUAGGUGGCGAGCGUUGUCCGGAAUCAUUGGGCGUAAAGGGAGCGCAGGCGGGCAUGUAAGUCUUUCUUAAAAGUUCGGGGCUCAACCCCGUGAUGGGAAAGAAACUACAUGUCUUGAGUACAGGAGAGGAAAGCGGAAUUCCCAGUGUAGCGGUGAAAUGCGUAGAUAUUGGGAGGAACACCAGUGGCGAAGGCGGCUUUCUGGACUGCAACUGACGCUGAGGCUCGAAAGCCAGGGGAGCGAACGGGAUUAGAGACCCCCGUAGUCCCUGUCUCUUAUACC